UAAAGUACGCUGUCCAUUGGAAUCAUCUGAAUGUGUCAGGUGCGAAGUUCACGAAACGAAACUUCGACCGGAGUAGUUAGGCGCAUGCGCAGGCAGUGAAUAUUUGGCUGGGUAAAUUAGCAGCAGGCAGUAUACAUUUGUGAACCUACAGAGGAGCAAAAGAAGCACACCAGUGCUCACUAUGCCAUCUUUGCCAGACAAAUUAGAUCUUAAAUCUGAUGCUUUGAUGAGGUACCAGUUCAACAAAGGCAGACUCUCCAUUUCACUUCCUCUUCUCUGAGGAAUGUCAUCUGCUGAACUCAACAUCGCUCCCACCCUCACGCUCACACACACUUAAAAUUCCCCUCAUAAGCCUGGAUAUUCCUGAGAACAAUUUCAAGUUACUAUCAUUUACAAUUCCCAGAGCUUUAGGCUUCUUCUUACCUAUGUUAAAUGUAACAGAAGUGUCU